rnacentral:rRNA from 1 species
AGUGAACGCUGGCGGUAGGCCUAACACAUGCAAGUCGAACGGCAGCACAGUAAGAGCUUGCUCUUACGGGUGGCGAGUGGCGGACGGGUGAGGAAUACAUCGGAAUCUACUUUUUCGUGGGGGAUAACGUAGGGAAACUUACGCUAAUACCGCAUACGACCUACGGGUGAAAGCAGGGGAUCUUCGGACCUUGCGCGAUUGAAUGAGCCGAUGUCGGAUUAGCUAGUUGGCGGGGUAAAGGCCCACCAAGGCGACGAUCCGUAGCUGGUCUGAGAGGAUGGUCAGCCACACUGGAGCUGAGACACGGUCCAGACUCCUACGGGAGGCAGCAGUGGGGAAUAUUGGACGAUGGGCGCAAGCCUGAUCCAGCCAUACCGCGUGGGUGAAGAAGGCCUUCGGGUUGUAAAGCCCUUUUGUUGGGAAAGAAAAGCAGCAGGUUAAUACCCCGCUGUUCUGACGGUACCCAAAGAAUAAGCACCGGCUAACUUCGU